CACAUCCCUGGACAGACCCUCUACUUUAGUAUUUUUCCUGAAAGUCAUGUGAUUUACAGGAAAGAGAUUUAAGACUUCUGGCAUUUCAAUAACAUGCAGAUCGUUUCUUUUUGGCUGACAUGCUUCCUGGAUAACAUGAGUACACUUAUUUAAGCCCAGAACAUAGUGGCAAAAAAAUACAGCAGAAGAAUUCAAGAAAACAAGACACAUCUCUGAUAUACUAUCCAGCAGAAACACUCAGUUUGCUGUUCGGAGCACAGAUUUCCUGAGAACAGAAGAACUGAAGUAAAGUCAGAGCAGCAGAAGUUUCUGUUUAUCUGACAGAUUACAGUUUGUUGAUAAGCACAUAUAAUUUUAUCCCUGCCUGAAGAGAAGAUCAUUGGUUGAAGUGCUUGAAGAUCUUGUGUUUUAGCUCUACAUCUGUCUUAAGAUGCCUGAAAACCAACAUAAAUCCUCCAAUCGCGCUUCCAAGAAAGAGGAAGGAAAAGAUUCUACACUCAGUGACAUAGCUGAGGAUUUGUCAUCAUACUUUAAAAAGUUUUCUCAGUUUAAAAAAUAUGAAAAAGAUAUUAAAAGGAAAUACAAAAAGUAUUAUAAUACUACACUGCCUGAUCGCUGGCCAGUUGAGUUCAUCAACAAAGCUUGGAGAAAAA